UACGUAGGGGGCAAGCGUUGUCCGGAUUUAUUGGGCGUAAAGAGCGUGUAGGCGGCCAGGUAGGUCGGUUGUGAAAACUGGAGGCUUAACCUCCAGACGUCGACCGAAACCAUCUGGCUAGAGUCCGGAAGAGGAGAGUGGAAUUCCUGGUGUAGCGGUGAAAUGCGCAGAUAUCAGGAAGAACACCCGUGGCGAAAGCGGCUCUCUGGGACGGUACUGACGCUGAGACGCGAAAGCGUGGGGAGCGAACAGG
rnacentral:rRNA from 1 species